AUAGAAGAGAAGCCAAAGAUGAGCAGAAUUACAUGAACAAGUUGGGCCUAGAUGCUUUGUAUGUUGUCUUCAGCUUCCUGGUGGGUGGCCUAACCUUCUUAAACACCAACGGGAAUUUGAUCUUUGAGUCAUGGAACUGCUUCGUACUUUCCCUCUUGCAGAGUUUUGCAGGAACAGUUGCUGUCUUAAUGAUUUGGAUGCACGGGCACCUCACCCUAUGGCGAGAAGCCAUCUCGGUAUACAUUUGCUCAACAGCCCCGUUCAAUG
rnacentral:misc_RNA from 1 species